rnacentral:rRNA from 1 species
CCUACGGGAGGCAGCAGUGGGGAAUAUUGGGCAAUGGAGGCAACUCUGACCCAGCAACGCCGCGUGAAUGAUGAAGGUCUUCGGAUUGUAAAGCUCUGUGAUGGGGGAUGAACACAUUGACGUUACUCCAAUAGCAAGCCACGGCUAACUACGUGCCAGCAGCCGCGGUAAUACGUAGGUGGCAAGCGUUAGCCGGAAUGACUGGGCGUAAAGGGUGUGUAGGUUGUCUAGUAAGUUGGCGGUGAAAUUCCGGGGCUCAACCUGGGCGCUGCAGCCAAAACUAUUAGACUAGAGUGCAGGAGAGGUAAGUGGAAUUCGUGGUGUAGCGGUGGAAUGCGUAGAUAUUAGGAGGAACAUCAGGGGCGAAGGCGACUUACUGGACUGUAACUGACGCUGAGGCACGAAAGCGUGGGGAGCAAACAGGAUUAGAUACCCUUGUAGUC